rnacentral:rRNA from 1 species
ACGGGUGAGUAACGCGUGGGAAUCUACCUUUUGCUACGGAAUAACUCAGGGAAACUUGUGCUAAUACCGUAUGUGCCCUUCGGGGGAAAGGUUUAUCGGCAAGAGAUGAGCCCGCGUUGGAUUAGCUAGUUGGUGGGGUAAAGGCCUACCAAGGCGACGAUCCAUAGCUGGUCUGAGAGGAUGAUCAGCCACACUGGGACUGAGACACGGCCCAGACUCCUACGGGAGGCAGCAGUGGGGAAUAUUGGACAAUGGGCGCAAGCCUGAUCCAGCCAUGCCGCGUGAGUGAUGACGGUCUUAGGAUUGUAAAGCUCUUUCACCGGUGAAGAUAAUGACGGUAACCGGAGAAGAAGCCCCGGCUAACUUCGUGCCAGCAGCCGCGGUAAUACGAAGGGGGCUAGCGUUGUUCGGAUUUACUGGGCGUAAAGCGCACGUAGGCGGACUUUUAAGUCAGGGGUGAAAUCCCAGAGCUCAACUCUGGAACUGCCUUUGAUACUGGAAGUCUUGAGUAUGGUAGAGGUGAGUGGAAUUCCGAGU